GGCAGGGGAGCUCCAGGGCAGAGGCUGCGCUUGGGGAGCAGGGCAUGGGAUCUGCAGGAGGGACCAGGGACCGGAUAGGACCAGGCACGGCACAGGGGCAGCUCCCAGGCUCCAGCCAGGACUGUCCGGGAGGCUUAGGCCUGCACGUCCCGGCUGGGCUGGGGAAGCAGGUCCCAAAGAUGUGAGUCCAGGCCCAGAAAUGAGGAGGAAAUGCCCCAGUGGUGUCCCCUCGUCUCCUUAGGUCAGGGUCCCUGGGUGGGAAGGGCUGGGGCCUGAGACAUUGACCCAGGUUCUGUGGAGGUCACCUGCAGGCGGCGUCCCAGCAUCCACCUUUCCUUCUAGGUCCACCCAUGUGUCGUCUGGAAACACAGUCCCCGAGGUCAGACCCGCGAUCCAGGGACACCUUGGCCGCAGGGGAUUUGGGGACCCAGGUCUGGUCAAGGAAGGCCCACACUGCCUACGGUGAUUGGGGCCGGGACAGUCACAAGUCCCUGCCCAGACGAAUCAGAGUGAGCAUCAGCGUUGGUCCCAGGUCCAACAGGAAAGGCUCUGGCCCGUCCCACUGGCUGCAGGGAUUGGUUCAGGCCCAGUCACGUGCCUCCACCCCAUCCAAUCGCAGGCCCGGAGGUGUGAGGUGACGGACUCCCUGGACCCCUCGGUUCCAGAACCCAGACCCGACGAAGACCAAGAUUUGAGAGGGACGUUCUGAUGCCAUCGCUGGAGGGCUGGAUCCAGCCGUGCCUGAGUGUGCAGGGCAGGGCCGGUCUGCGGUGGCUACUGUCACUUCCAGCUCGAGGACCCUCCCUGCUGCCUGCGGUGGGACGAUCGGGAGCCGCAUCUGGGUCGUGCUCCUCCCAGCGCAGCCCUGAGCCUCCACCGUCGGGCUUGUUCUCAACCUUCGGGGACGUGAGCAGCGCCCGGGCUGUGGGGACCGAGGGGCAAUGCCCGUGUUCUCCCUGGUCUCCGCGGACUCCCCGGCCUCUCUGGUCUCUGGUCUCCUCAACCUCCGUGGCCUCCCCAACCUCCGUGGCCUCCCCAGUCUCCGUGGUCUCCCUUGUGUCUAUGUCCUCCCCAGUCUCCGGCCUCCCUGGUGUCCGUGGCCUCCCCUGCCUCUGCGGCCUCCUCAGUCCCCCUGGGGCCCUGGAACUCCCGAGGAGACGGGACACGCGGGACUGAGCGUGUCAGCAGCUGGAGUGACGUCCAGGCGGCACGAGCAGCCGGACCGUGGGAGCAGGUGGACCUGAGGGCGCUCGGAGCCGCGGACACGGGUGUGGGCGGUGCAGAGAAGGUGGGGGUGCUACACAGGCGAGCGACACCACAGCGGGCCGUGUGCAGGUACUGCAGGUGACCCAGAGAGAGCGGGGACACGGCCGUCACAGACUGCAGUGCGAGCAUCCCACCCCCCACCCCAGUGGGGGCACCUGACAGGCGGGCGGUCACGGUGUAAACGCUCAGGUGGAGCCCGGGCAGAGCUAGCAGCACGCGCACGAGGUACGCGCCAGGUAGCACGGAGGGAGCGUGGGAUCAGGGGACACGGGCGACAGCACCGUCACACGGUAGGGCGUGCGCAGGUGACACACGGCCCUUCACACCCAGGGGAAGUUCACGGGCGAGCGGGCGGGCCCAGGCAUGGCCCUCGAUUGGCCGCACCGACAGCGCGGCUGUGACCCACACACAGGCCGACUGACACCGGCCCCGGGACUCGGAGGUUAAGUGGGAAAGGGUCACAUGGGGCCCAGUGAUCCCUUCCAGCCUGAGAGGGGGAUGCUCGGGCCAGCCGAGUUGGGACACCAGGCUGUGGGGUGACAAGGACCCUCAGCGCGUCUUCACGCUUGUUCCGGAGGGGGAGAUGGGGUGCCGCACUGAGCCUCGUUUGCACCGCACGUCCCCGUUGUAACUCGUUACCCUUCGAUCGUCCGCAGAGAAGAACGUCAACACGUUUGUGUCAGACA